UAUUGGCUCAAAAUGUACUUUAUUUAUGUUUUAAUGAAGUGGUAGACACCCUACAUAUCUAUUGCAUUUCAAUUUCGGCUCUUUGUUUGCCAGAAAGCAUAUUACAUAUAUAUGUUAACCUAUUAAAAAAAAAUGCAUGCAAACUUUACACAGUCAUUCAAUAUGCAUAACGUGUUACAUAACCACACACUGUGUUUACAUUUAUACCAUGGUCCAAGAUCAGUAUUGAAGUAUACAUGUAGCUUUUUACACACUAAAAAUUCUUUCAUACCAGACAGUAUACAAUCACAUGUACUCGACAUUAUGAAUAUAUAUACAACUAUGUAAUUAUCAAGUUAAAUAGAACUUUCUGCUGAAAAUUGCAAGUGAUGUAGCUGCUUAAAAAACGCAGUAUUAAGUCUUCCCCGGAAGACAUGUGUCGCCUGCUAGUUCAUUCUAUAUGUAAUAUAUCACGUAUAAUGUUGAAAAAGUAAAUUACUGAAAUGGUUUUUGUCACUAAACAGGAAGUUGAUAAGCGACAGAUUCGAAAAUGUCUUACACAAUACAGUUGGCCACACUGAUGCUCUAUGCCAAAUAUCAGGGAGUUGCCCCAUGUGGUUCUUGAGAAAACUGUGACAGAAAUUUUUUUGCUGUAAAAAAUUCUAAGUCCCGGCAAACAGGAAGUUGAUAAGCGACAGAUUCGAAAAUGUCUUACACAAUACAGUUGGCCACAGUGAUGGUCUGUGCCAAAUAUCAGGGAGUUGCCCCAUGUGGUUCUUGAGAAAACUGUGACAGAAAUUUUUUGUGACGACGAUGCCGCCAGACGACGACGAAUAGUGAUCCCUAUAUGUCGCCACUGCGUAACGCAGGCGACACAACAAGAGACUCAUAGGCCAUAUCAAUCAUCUGAGUCACCUUGGCUAAUAUUUUAAUGAUUUUCUCUCCAUAUAUACUCCGAUGUAAAACUUUGAUCCCCUACUGUGGUCCCACCCUAUAUUAAUCUGCACUAUGACACGAAACUUUCAUGUAAAUGCAAAUUUCUCUGGUCUAGUGGUUCUUGAGAAGAAGAUUUUUUAAAGAUUUUCCGUAUAGAUUUGUAUGCAAAACUUUGAUCCCCUAUUGUGGCCCCAAACCUACCCCCAAAACCAUGCUUUUAACAAACCUGAAUCUGCACUAUGUCAGAAACGUUUAUGAAAAUUUGUGCUUUUCUGGGCCAAUGGUUCUGAAAAGGGGACUCUUAAAAGAUUUUCCAUAUAUUUUCGCAUGUAAAACUUUGAUCCCCUAUUGUGGCCCUAACCUACCCUGGGGUCCUGGUUUUAACAAACUUGAAUCUGCACUAUGUCAGGAGAGCUUUCAUAUCUAUUUCAGCUCUUCUGGCCCAGUGGUCCUUGAGAAGAUAUUUAAAUGGAUCCACCCUACUUUUGCAUUUUUGUGAUUAUCUCCCCUUUGAAGCAGGCAUGGCCCUUUAAUUGAAUAAACUGGAAAGCCCUUCACCCAAGGAUGUUUUUGCCGAGUUUGGAUGAAAUUAGCCAAAUGGUUCUGGAGAAGAAGUCGUAAAUGUGAAAAGUUUACAGACAUAUGGACAACAGACAACGUGAGAUCAGAAAAGCCCACUCGAGCUUUCAGCUCUAGUGAGCUAAAAAACCAAGAUUGCAGCUAACAUUGAAUGAAGGUAUUUUAUGUCAUCAGAUAGAGAGAGUUUACACACUAGAAUGCCCACAUUACAAAUCUAUACAGCUGUGAAAACACCCAUGAUGAC